rnacentral:tRNA from 1 species
AGUCUUGUGGUGUACAACACGUAAAAUUGCAAAUUUUAAAAUGAAAUUAAUUUUUUCCAGGGCUU